UUUUAAAACUUUUAUAUAUAUGCAUAAGGUUUCAAAAUACUAUCAUUGUUAUAUUUAUUUAUGUAAUAGAUCAACACUUUAGUUUACUUUUGCUAUUUGAUUUUCAAAACAACAUUUAUUAAAUUAUACAUAAUCUUAAUAAAAUACAUUUACAAAUUUAAAACAAUAAUCAAACUACAUGAAAAUAAAAUAAAAUAAUCAAAAUUUAAAUAUGUAUAACUAAAAUAUUAUAGUUGAAUCGAAAAAGUAAAUGUUAUCUAACAUAUCCAAAUAAUAACCAAACAGUCAAGAUAUUUUAUAUCCAAAAUUAUACGUCUAACUAAGAUAACAAAAUGUUAUUUAAAUAAACUAUGCAUAUUAAUUACAAUAUAAAUAAGAGAAUAACUAAAAUUAAAAAAAAAAUAUUAAUAAAUUAUUAUAAUGUAUUUACUUUCUAAAUAUUAUAUCCGUGCAUGAGCACGGGAAAAUCACCUAGUAUGGAAGUGAAUUUGUUGACAUGUAUCUUCAUAUAAUGUUUUUAUAUUAAGUUUUUCAUCUUUUAGAUUACUGCAAUUUAUCCCAACACUUCCUAAUUGUUCAUUUUUUAUCUUGGUCCCAAAAUCUCUAACCGUGACCCUAACUCCUAAUACACUAAAAUGAUCAAAAUAUGAAGUGUCGAAUGCAACUUCCAAAUUUUCCCUGUCUCUAAAUUAGAAGGUUUAAUCAUUCCAUAUAACUAGAUGAUCACCAAACUUUUUCAAAAGAAAAAAAUCUAGAAAUUAUAUAUAUAUUUGUGUCUCUAUUUUUCUACUGAUUAAUGUCCUCAAAUUGAAUUUAUCAUCAUCGAGUCUACUAUAAAUUUUAAAACACACAAUUCUAUAGGUAGAGAAAAAUAUUUUAGAAAGAGACUAAAUUUUUGUGAAGAAAAAUAUGUGUUUUCAUUACAAAUAGCAAACAAAAACUGAGGUGUCAGGAUUUGGUCAAGUUAUAGCGUCCAAGGGCAAAAUGGAGAACAACUUCGGUGCAGUUUUAAUAGUAACAAAAACAUAUAAAUAUAUAGGUAUGUAGAGAUUUUUGUUACUAUAACUGCGGUGCGGUCUGUAAACAUUCAAAGCUAUAAUUUUUUUUGUUGGUUUAGGUAUUUGAGAUUUGAAAACCGGUAAAAUUGGGUAUCCAAGCGAGAAGUAGUUAAAAGAACAUUUAUUUUUGUAAAUAUCUAUUUUUAUCUUUUAAUUUCAACCACUGAAUUAAACAUGAUCUAAUUUGAUAGAUAAGAUUGUCUGAAAAUUUUAGUUAUCUAAUCCGUCUCGCACUAACCAUCAUCAUAUGAAGUUUGAUAAUCUAUUUUAUUGAUCACUAAUAUCAAGAUAAAUAAAUAAAUAUGUAAAAUAAUAUAAAUAUAUUUAAAAUAUUUGAUAUAUUCAUAACUAAAAAUAUUAUAAAUUUUCACGAUUUUAUUAUUUUUUACUAUUUUCAAUUAUUUUAUUUACAAAUUAUAUAUCUAUUUUAUUAUUAAAAAUCAUAAAAUAACUAAACUAAGAAGAAGAAACUAGAGCACAAAACAUAAGCUAAACCUAAAACAUUCACAUUCACAGAAAAAUGCAAAAUUCCAUAGUAACAUUAACUCAAUAAAAAUCUGGAUCUGAAAAGAGAUCAAGAACGAAGACUAACUUACAUCACUUUACCAUAAAGUAUUUUGACCAGAACAAACAUAUGUCAGAAAAGAGCAGAAAAAUAAAGUCUGAGACAAAACAAUCCCACGAAUACAAAGGAACGUGAUCAUGCACCAACACAAAACCAAGAAAGCGGGUUGGAGAAAAAAAUAAUCAAAUGAAGGCUAAAGUCACCACUUAAUGAGAAAUCAUAGAAAUAUUGUUUUAUUGCAAGAACAAGAGGAGAUAGGUGAGUCUUUUUAUGGUAAUGGUAAACAAGAGCACGUAUGUGAGUCUUUUUCUGGUAAUGGUAAGAAGCAUCGCAUACCGGAAAGGUAAACCAAAACAUAGACGGUGACGGUUCAAGAUCAAAAUCUGGAGAGAGGAAAAAACAUUUUAAAAGAAUAUAUUCAAAAUUUUGAAAAAAAAUAAAAUACAAUUUUGACGCUAAAACCGUUAAUCUUAGAAUCAACAAAUGCUUAAAUGCAAAGUUAUUGAAAUUCAAUAUGUUUUACAUCAGAAGCUCACUUCACUACUAACAAGUACUAUUAUACACACAAUAACAUAUUAUUGAAAAAAUAAACACAUAAUAUAUUAACCUAUCACCUACAACUACAUAACACAGUAAAAACACCAAAUAAUGUUCUUAAUAAAUAAAAACGACUACAUAAUUACAUUUUCAACAAAAAUAAUACUUAACAACAAUAAAACAAUAUUCCUGACGGACACACCCCUAAUAACAUAUAAAAAACAAAAUCAUACUUUGAUUAGGAAAUCAAAGUGUUGGCUUUGAUACCAAUCAAUGAAUUGAAAGCUACAAUAAUGCAAAUAUCUUAUUCGAUUUGAAAUACAGUAUAUCAAAUCAUCCAUGUUUUGUUGAUUCGUGAAAACUCGCAAACUCACUGUAGCAAGAGAAAUAAAAAAAAUCAAACCCUUCCUUUAUAAGUCAAUCAAAAACUAAAUAUGAUAAUAGUCUAAACGACUUAUUUAUAAUAAAUCCUACAACUUAAAAACACCAAAAUAUGUAUAAUUAAUAAAACAAAAUGAUAUAAUAUUUAAAAUAUUUUUAUAUAUCUAUUGGCAUCACUAACUCUGUUUUGAAACAAAACCAUUCAACAUAGGCGUUAUUACAAAGUUUUUAGGAUGAAGUUUUCAGCGUAAUAUAAAAAUUGUUUUUUAACUUUAAGAAAAACUAAGAACUGUCUCUUAAAACUUUUAUUUAAAAACUGGUUCUUAGUUCUUCUUAGUUAAAAAUUAAGAGACGGUUAUUAUAUUACGAUAAGAACAUCACCAUAAGAACUCCCUGAUAACAACCUUUCAAAAUGGAUAGUCCGGAAACCCUUAUCUUGGAGACAAGUCAUUGCUCCGAUGAGUCCAUCUCCAAAUAUAGUACUGACAAAACCCUUAUCUUAGAGACAAGUCAUUGCUCCGAUGAGUCCAUCUCCAAAUAUAGUACUGACAAACUUAAGCAGCAGCUUUUUUUGUCCAAAGUUUCAUAUCCUAUAAUAUCUCUCAUAACAACACAAGCCCAAUAACUAGUCUAUAAGACUAUAACCAACUCAAGAAGAUUGGAAUUUGGAAAGAGUUCAAUGGGGACACUCAAACUGGCCAGGUCCAUCUCUUCCUCCUCUUCAUCUUUCGCUUCCUUAUUUCUCCAGCUCUCGGCUUCCACUAUUGCUAUCUGAAAGGAACUAUGCUAGGCGCUAGUCGGGCGGUAACCCCGGACCUAGCGAGUUACCAAAAAAUCGGAGAUUAAGCGGGGCAUACGCGGGGCCUAGUUUUAAGACAUAUUAUAUAUAUAUAUAUAUAUAACGUUCAUAGAUAAACAUAGUAAUCCAUUACAUCCAAUUCAUGGAAUAAACAAAAAUAGAUUGUCUUGAUCUUGAGAACAUACAGAAAAGGUUUUCAUCCUUUGUUGUCGAAGAUCAAGUAAUCACCAUGAAGGGAAGAUGUGUUAGAUAUUGUAACGUACCCCUGCAACGACAAACAAAAAAACAUCAAUUUUUUACAUAUGAAUAUACAAUCAAACGUGAAACUAAGGUUCAAAAACAUUAAAAAUCCGUGACCUAGGAAGAGAAAGACAUCAAAUUGGUUAAAAAAGUUUCAGAACUUAACUAGUGUUUAAGAACUAAGUUAAAAAGCUUCACUAACAACCUAAAGUGAGUUAUCCAUACAAACAAAACUUGUAAAACAACCUAAGCUGAUUCUUCCUCCAUCUUGUAGAACUCCUAAAACAAGAGAUAACACAUGUAAGAAUCAGUAAUACUCAUAAAAUUUUCAGAACUCAACAACAGUUUUACAAAACUUAUAAAAUAUAAAAACUCAACAAUCUAAAUGGGUCUUUUUUCAUCUUUAAGAACUCCUACGACAUGACUGAACGAUUGUGACAUUGGUUAUUACGAAGAAUAGAAACGAAAUUACCUCCAGUUCGUCUCUUACUCUCAAUCCACGUUUGAUUUCAUCUCCACGCUUCAGUUCAACGCUUGAUUUUGUCUCCACUUUUUCGAUUAGGGUUUCAGGUAUCGAAGAUCAAUCUCAAUUAAAGCAACGACGUGUUAAGUGUGUGUCUGGCCUUCUUCGGCUUUGAUUUUAAUUGAGUUUGAACUGACAUUUAUCAACCGAUUUUAUUAUUUUCCGCCGCGUUUUAGUAUUACGCGGGCGAGUAAUGAAAAAAUUGCAACCCCGCGUAGAGUCACCGAGUUGGUCCUCUUCGCCACGUUCAGUCUGCGACUACCGCCUAGGCGGACGAUUAAGCGGCUAGGCGGCUGCGUUUUUGAACAGGGGUUUUUACACAUAUUAAAAAUAUAUAUUAAAUAUUUUCUAAUAACUGGUCAAGAUAAAUUGCAUCUUUAAUGAUUAUAAUUUAUGGUUUCAUGAUCUAGAAUAUACAUGCGCUUUACCAUGUGCUAUGAUUUAUUUAUCAUUUUUGUUUGUUUGUUUCAGAUGCUAUUUACCACUAAUAAUGUUUUUUUUUUCUACACAUAUUAAAAAAACAUAUUAAAUAUUUGCUAAUAACUGGUCAAGAUAAAUUGCAUCUUUAAUAAGUAUAAUUUAUGGUUUCAUCUAGAAUAUAUAUGCGGUUUACCAAGUGCUAUGAUUUAUUUAUCAUUUUUGUUUGUUUGUUUAAGAUGCUAUUUACCGUUAAUAAUGUUUCUCUUUGCGGAGUAUGUUUUUUACAUAUAUUAAAAAUAUAUAUUAAAUAUUUAUUAAUAACUAGUCAAGAUAAAUUGCAUCUUUAAUAAGUAUAAUUUAUGGUUUCAUCUAGAAUAUAUAUGCGGUUUACCAUGUGCUAUGAUUUAUUUAUCAUUUUUGUUUGUUUGUUUCAGAUGCUAUUUACCACUAAUAAUGUUUCUCUUUGCAGAGUAUGUUUUUACACAUAUUAAAAAUAUAUAUUAAAUAUUUGCUAAUAACUGGUCAAGAUAAAUUGCAUCUUUAAUAAGUAUAAUUUAUGGUUUCAUCUAGAAUAUGUAUGCGGUUUAUCAUGUGCUAUGAUUUAUUUAUCAUUUUUGUUUGUUUGUUUCAGAUGCUAUUUUAUGGCAGUUGUUGCGAGAAAACGUCCUUUUUUUUUAUUUUUUAUUUUAACACAGAAAACGUCCUUUUACUUUUAGAACUGUACCUUAAGCCUUACCAUAAUUAAAAAAAAUGUUCCGAGAAAAUGUUUUCAGUAAAAAGAACUACUACAUAGCAAGAUAACGAAAUAUCCUCUGGUUCCAAGGAUAAUAACACUUACAGAUUACAAGCAAAUAAUAAUGGAAUUUUUAUGAAAAAGAAGAAAAACCAGAUUAAUCUCCAAUUAAUUAAGAACUGGUUUGGAGAGACGAUGACUAAUCAGAAGGCAUCUUUCUUACCAAUAAGCCAUAACCAAUCCAAAGCAACUCCUGCAAAUAUUCCUCCCAAUA